GUCGUCAGCUCGUGUCGUGAGAUGUUGGGUUAAGUCCCGCAACGAGCGCAACCCUUGUCUUCUGUUGCCAUCGGGUUAUGCCGGGCACUCUGAAGAGACUGCCGGUGACAAACCGGAGGAAGGUGGGGAUGACGUCAAGUCAGCAUGGCCUUUAUGUCUGGGGCCACACACGUGCUACAAUGGCCGGCACAAACCGUCGCAAACUCGCGAGGGUGAGCUAAUCGGAUAAAGCCGGUCUCAGUUCGGAUUGUAGGCUGCAACUCGCCUGCAUGAAGUUGGAAUCGCUAGUAAUCGCGGAUCAGCACGCCGCGGUGAAUACGUUCCCGGGCCUUGUACACACCGCCCGUCACAUCACGAAAGCCGGCUGUACUAGAAGUCGCUGAGCUAACCCGCAAGGGGGGCAAGCGCCUAAGGUAUGGUCGGUGAUUGGGGUGAAGUCGUAACAAGGUAACCAA
rnacentral:rRNA from 1 species